GAGUUUGAUCCUGGCUCAGAACGAACGCUGGCGGCGUGCCUAACACAUGCAAGUCGAACGGAGUUGAGGGGCUUGCUCCUCAAUUUAGUGGCGCACGGGUGAGUAACGCGUAGAUAAUCUGCCUGAUGAUCCGGGAUAACAUUUCGAAAGGGGUGCUAAUACCGGAUAAGCCCACGGACUCUUAGGGGUUUGCGGGAAAAGGGGGCCUCUGUAUAUGCUCCUGUCGCUAGAUGAGUCCGCGGCCCAUUAGCUAGUUGGUAGGGUAAUGGCCUACCAAGGCUACGAUGGGUAGCUGGUCUGAGAGGAUGAUCAGCCACACUGGAASUGAGACACGGUCCAGACUCCUACGGGAGGCAGCAGUGGGGAAUUUUGCGCAAUGGGCGAAAGCCUGACGCAGCAACGCCGCGUGAGUGAUGAAGGCUUUCGGGUCGUAAAGCUCUGUCGAGGGGAAAGAAGUGUAUUGGGGCUAAUAUCCCUGAUACUUGACGGUACCCCUAAAGGAAGCACCGGCUAACUCCGUGCCAGCAGCCGCGGUAAUAC
rnacentral:rRNA from 1 species